CAAAGAGAAAGACUUACUGUAUGGUAACUGUUGAAUCACAGCCUGAACCCCUGAUUGAGCACCUGGGAAAGGACCCAGUCAGCCCUAGGAGCACAGGUGAAGGCAAUUCAUCUGUGUGACCAGAAGGGGUGGAGCCUGGCUGCACCUCUCUUAGGCCUCAUUUAAGGGCUGACUGCCAGUGGAGAAGGUUUUCUUUCUGGAGAUCUCUCUGUGGUGAAGCUUUCCCUUACAAACCUGGAAUCUUCAGAUAUGGUUGUUGUCAGUAUCUCCUCCAGAAGACGUAAUGUACGGUCUCUAUGCCCUGUGGAAUUCUGGAGAGUGCAUGCUUUCAUUGGAGUCUUCAGAAAGCACUCACAACAGGGAGCUGAAGGCACAGACUUCUGCCAGAGGAUCUCCACUCUUGGAUUUUUGCCAUCUCCGGAGGCAUGCUUUCACAUGUUUACCACACAGUGAGUGGAGGAAGUGCCCAAGAAACCCAGUAACACAUGUGGACAGCUCUGUGAGUUCAUCAGGCAGUCACUUCACAAGAACACGUAAGCUGUCCCGAUUGCCUUCUAACAUCCACACAUCACCGUGUGAUGUCUGUGUGCAACGCAGCUUUAAAUUGGCGUGGGACUUACAGGUGUAAGCCUGUGGGAGUUUUACCUUUGAGGAUAUUAUUAUGGCUGUGUUGCAGCGCUCUGAUUGCACUUAUCCAUCUGUGCGCUGUUAUGCUGACAGUGCUAACAAAGCACGCCCAGCUAGCAGGCUGGAACACCCCUUGUAAACACGGCUUUGGCUUUGCUGGGUGCUGAGCUGGGACGGGCAGGCCGGCGUCCUGAAUCACACCUACACAAGCUUCCUCCAGCAGUGGGAAUUGGUCUAGUUUGUUUUACUCAAAAAGGAAGUCCAGGAAGCAAACAGUACCUUCAGAAACAUUAUGACCGAGGCGAGAAUAAGAACUGUUAGGGAACAACUGAACAGAUUACAGAAAAAUGCACUCGAAUACUAAAUGCAAAGCGGAAUAUGGGCAGCACAACCCGAACCCCUGUCCGCCAGCGGGAAGCAACGCCUGGUAGCUGCUGCUGUGCCCUAACGCGGCCUGGUAACGCGAGGAGGCGGCUCCUCAGCACCGUGUCCGCGUCUUUUCGGGUCCCCGCCGAGACGGAGGCGCCGGACUCGUCCCGCUCACAGCGCUCCGCAGCCCCGUCCGCUCCGCGCUCCGCGGCGCUGCGGGGGAGAUCGCGCAUCGCCACAUCCGGGUGCCGGCCCUCUCUGCGCGCAUGCGC
ensembl:lncRNA